rnacentral:rRNA from 1 species
GACGAAUGCUGGCUGCGUGCUUAACACAUGCAAGUCGAACGGUGAAGGAGGGCUUGCCCUCCGGAUCAGUGGCGAACGGGUGAGUAAUGCCUAGGAAUCUGCCCUGGACUCUGGGAUAAGCGUUGGAAACGACGUCUAAUACCGGAUACGAGGCGUGGGGGCAUCCCCAACGCCUGGAAAGAACUUCGGUCCAGGAUGAGCUCGCGGCCUAUCAGCUAGUUGGUGAGGUAACGGCUCACCAAGGCGACGACGGGUAGCCGGCCUGAGAGGGUGACCGGCCACACUGGGACUGAGACACGGCCCAGACUCCUACGGGAGGCAGCAGUGGGGAAUAUUGCACAAUGGGCGCAAGCCUGAUGCAGCAACGCCGCGUGAGGGACGACGGCCUUCGGGUUGUAAACCUCUUUUAGCAGGGAAGAAGCGAAAGUGACGGUACCUGCAGAAAAAGCACCGGCUAACUACGUGCCAGCCGCCGCUGUAACAC